GACGAACGCUGGCGGCGCGCCUAACACAUGCAAGUCGAACGAGCGAGAGAGAGCUUGCUUUCUUGAGCGAGUGGCGAACGGGUGAGUAACGCGUGAGGAACCUGCCUCAAAGAGGGGGACAACAGUUGGAAACGACUGCUAAUACCGCAUAAGCCCACGACCCGGCAUCGGGUCGAGGGAAAAGGAGCAAUCCGCUUUGAGAUGGCCUCGCGUCCGAUUAGCUAGUUGGUGAGGUAACGGCCCACCAAGGCGACGAUCGGUAGCCGGACUGAGAGGUUGAACCGCCACAUUGGGACUGAGCCACGGCCCAGACUCCUACGGGAAGCAGCAGUGGGGAAUAUUGCACAAUGGGGGAAACCCUGAUGCAGCGACGCCGCGUGGAGGAAGAAGGUCUUCGGAUUGUAAACUCCUGUUGUUGAGGAAGAUAAUGACGGUACUCAACAAGGAAGUGACGGCUAACUACGUG
rnacentral:rRNA from 1 species